AACGAACGCUGGCGGCGUGCCUAACACAUGCAAGUCGAGCGCGAGAAGGGCAACCUGAGUAGAGCGGCGCACGGGUGCGUAACACGUGGGCAAUCUGCCUUAGAGUCGAGGAUAACCUUCCGAAAGGUUGGCUAAUACUCGGUAAGCUUACGGUGUCUUCGGACGCUGUGGGAAGAGUAGGCCUCUGUUUACAAGCUUACGCUCUGAGAUGAGCCCGCGGCCCAUCAGCUAGUUGGCGGUGUAACGGACCACCAAGGCAACGACGGGUGGCUGGUCUGAGAGGACGAUCAGCCACACUGGAACUGAGACACGGUCCAGACUCCUACGGGAGGCAGCAGUGGGGAAUUUUCCACAAUGGGCGAAGGCCUGAUGGGGCAACGCAGCGUGUGUGAUGAAGGUUUUCGGAUCGUAAAGCACUUUCGACCGGGACGAAAAACCUCUGGCUAACAUCCAGGGGCCUGACGGUACCGGGAGAAGAAGCACCGGCUAACUCUGUGCCAGCAGCCGCCGUAA
rnacentral:rRNA from 1 species